AAGUCGUAACAAGGUUUCCGUAGGUGAACCUGCGGAAGGAUCAUUAACGAAUAUAACAAGGAUUGUUGCUGGCCUCUUGUAGGUAUUGUGCACGUCCUAUUAUUCUUAAACCACUGUGCACCUUUUGUGAGCCUUUGUAAACACGGAUUUUGAGACUUGCGCCUAAACCGCGCUUGACUCGCUAAAGUCCGUCUUGCAAAGGUUUCACGUUUAUUACACAAACUAUACGAAUAUUUAGAACGCAUCAAUAGAGUUGGGACUCGCGCCCUUCUUUAAUAAAAAUCUAUACAACUUUCAACAACGGAUCUCUUGGCUCUC
rnacentral:misc_RNA from 1 species